UCCUCCUUGUGCCUGUCCCCUCACCCUCUGCAGGGUGCAGAGACCCGACCUGCUCAGUGCAGUGAUGCAGAGACCUGGACAGCUCAGUGCAGUGAUGCAGAGCCCCAACCUGCUCCAUGCAAUGCUGCAGAGACCCGACCUGCUCGGUGCAGCAAUGCAGAGCCCCGACCUGCUCCAUGCAAUGGUGCAGAGCCCUGACCUGCUCAGUGCAGCGAUGCAGAGACCUGAGCAGCUCAGCGCAGCAGUGCAGAGCCCCAACAUGCUCUGUGCAAUGGUGCAGAGACCUGACCCGCUCAGUGCAGCAAUGCAGAGCCCCAACCUGCUCCGUGCAUCACUGCAGAGACCUGACCUGCUCGGUGCAGUGAUGCAGAGCCCCAACCUGCUCCAUGCAAUGGUGCCGAGACCUGAAGAGCUCAGUGCAGUGAUGCAGAGACCUGAACCACUUGAUGCAGCGAUGCAGAGACCUGAACAGCUCAGUGCAGCAGUGCAGAGCCCCGACCUGCUCCAUGCAUUGGUGCUGAGACCUGAACAGCUCAGUGCAUCACUGCAGAGCCCCAACCUGCUCCGUGCAAUGCUGCAGAGACCUGAACUGCUCGGUGCAUCACUGCUGAGACCUGAUACACUCAGUGCAGUGAUGCAGAGCCCAACACAUCAAGCGCAGCAAUGCAGAGACCUGACCCUGCUCAGCGCAGCAAUGCAGAGCCCUGACACACUCAGUGCAGCAAUGCAGAGCCCCAACACGCUCAGUGCAGUGAUGCAGAGACCCAACACACUCAGCACAGUGGUGCAGAGCCCCGACACACUCAGCACAGUGGUGCAGACCCCCGACCCUCUCUCGGUGCAGAGGCCCCCCCGAGGCUCUGAGCCCGUUUUAUGGCCUCCGGCUCCGGCCCUCGCCACGGUCACGCAGUGCCACCGCGUGGGGACGGCCACGCACAGCACAGGCUCCCCCACGCUGGCACCCAUGGGUGGGAUAACCAAAAAAAAAAGCCCCAACGGGGUGGGGGGGGUUGGGGUUUUGUGCUGCAAACACCGGCCCCAUGGAGGGGAUGGGGCAGUGCCUAUAGGGCCGGCUGUCCCCAUGUCCCCAUGUCCCCGUGUCCCCUGGGUAUGGGGACAAGGCCCCGGUGCUGGCAGACGCCCAGGAUUGGGGGGGGGGGGGGGUUCCCCUCUGGGGUGGCAGCUUCACCCCGGGGGCAUCAGGCAGCCAGGGGAUGGGGAGACCCCAUA
rnacentral:lncRNA from 1 species